GUGAACUACAGCAUGAGCCAGAUGUACUUCAUGUUGCCUUAAUCUUGUCCACAGAAACAUGAAGGAACAGAAUGAAAGUCCCACAGUUGAGAGCCAAGAACAGGACCUGGGGGGUACACUGAUUCCUAGUACACAGUUGACUACAGAACAACAACAACAACAACAAAAUAAACCAAGUACAAUGGGAAAAACUGAAGAAAAUAGUUAAGUGGGACAAAGGCAACAAAGUAGGCAGAAUCACAAGAAGAAAGAAGACCAAGGGAAAAUUUCAAGAACAUUUUUUAAAGUAAGAAAGCAUGGAAGAAAUGACUGAAUAUUAUAAAUAUAGGAUGGUCCCUGUUUUGCUGGAAUAGCAGUCUGAAACCAUCAUUUAUCUUGGUCUGGGUGGAGCUGAGGUCUGGGAAUUCCCAUAUAAGGUAGUUUGUUCAUGCUUACUUCCUCAAGCACACAUUACACCUCCUCAUCUGAAAAAGGCACUGGAAGAAAAGAUUCUUUGGGAAUGACAUCCACACAUACAUUAAAGGCUGUGGUUUCCACUCCUAAUGGUUAGUAGAUUUGCCAAGACACAGCAUCCUCGCAACCCCCACCCAAAUACGGUUCAGCAUCUAGCAGUCAACACCACAGGGCCUUCCUGUGGUCACGACUGGCAGUGGUGAUAAAGGUCGGUAUGACCUUACUGCUCUCCAUAAAUAGCCCUUCAGUCAGUAAUGUCCUUGCAUGAUAUGGUCACAUUCUUUCAAGAGCAGCCCUGCUUUUAUGUAUGGUACCUUCCUUCCACAGAGCUUUCCAUCUCAGGUGAAGCUGCUUUCUUGCCCCACCAUAAUUCCUCUCAAUGACUUCAAAGCAGGGCCUCUACAUUCGAUUUUUUUUUAGGAUGAGUCUGUCUACCUUUUUUUUAGAGCUAUGCUGUCUACUUUGGUAGCCAGUAGUCACAUGUAGCAACUUGAAAUGUGGCUAGUCUGAAUUCAGAUGGACUUUAAAGUACCCACUGAAUUCUCCUGGUAACUUUAAAAUGCUGAUGACAUGAUAUGUAUAUAGCUUGGACAUGAUGACAGUUUGAUAUACUGGGUUAAAUUAAACAUAUUAUUAAAAUUAA
rnacentral:lncRNA from 1 species